UUUCUCACAGCCACCUCCAACUCUUAAAAACGCUUCCAACUGCCUCCCAGCACACAACCAAAGGAGAAAACUAUUCUGUCAAAGAGACGGUGCCAAAAGGCAAAAACAAAGGAGCUGAUGGCAAAGAAGGUAGCUGUGAUCGGAGCUGGGGUCAGUGGCCUGAUUUCUCUGAAGUGCUGCGUGGAUGAGGGACUUGAGCCCACUUGCUUUGAGAGAACUGAAGAUAUUGGAGGAGUGUGGAGGUUCAAACAACGGGAAGCACUUGGCAAGCAUCACCUUUUUUUCUUCGCAAUACUGCUAGGAAGAGAAUGUGGAAGAUGGCCGAGCAAGUAUCUAUCAAUCUGUCGUUACCAACACCAGCAAAGAAAUGUCCUGUUUUAGUGACUUUCCAAUGCCUGAAGAUUUUCCAAACUUCCUGCAUAAUUCUAAACUUCUGGAAUAUUUCAGAAUUUUUGCUAAAAAAUUUGAUCUGUUAAAAUA
rnacentral:sRNA from 1 species